UGGUGUUAUUAUGUAGAUACCGCUUUCUUUAUUCAUUGCCUCAUCCAUUGCGACAUGCUCAAUUUGCACAAAGUAAUAAUAAGCGGAUACAUUGGUCAUAAAGCCGGCUUCUAGAUGCACUUCCCGAAAAGGACGCCACGGGGGGACCCACUUCGAUUAUUAAUUCUUUUUGGGCCACCCACCCAGCUAAUAAUAAUGGAUACACUCUCC
ensembl:ncRNA F35D2.14 ncRNA